rnacentral:tRNA from 1 species
GGAUUGUGGCUCAGUGGUAGGGCACUUGCCUAGUAUGUGUGAGGUCCUGGGUUCGAUCCUCAGCACCA